UUAAUAGCACAUAUAUAUGUUAUAUCAAUAAAUGUUAAUUAGUAUAAAUAUGUGAUAAAUGAUAUUUUAAUUUGUUUAAAGCACUCACAUAAGUAAACAUUCAUCCAGAAAAUUCUCUCUGCUUCAUUUCUUCUAGUUCGUCCUAUGUGGCGUAUCUAUAUUCGAACCUCUUUUCUGCCAUGAAAAUCCUGUACAUAUGAUGACAAUAAUGUUAUUAAUUAAGAUUUAAAUUUCAACUUGUUAAAAUAAAAAUUUGUAAGCUAAUUUAUUUACCUCUCAUAUUGAAGAACAUCUUCGCAGUUGGUGAGCAAAUUUGUUUGCAAAUUACUGUGCUCCUGCUCAGUAAGUCGACGGUCCUUUGGUUUUCCGCUAAGUCGUCCAACGUCUGUGAAAUGUCUGGAACCGUAACAUGAUAUGUUGCCCGUUCGCCUCUAUC
rnacentral:lncRNA from 1 species